GGUGCUGCAUGGUUGUCGGUCAGCUCGUGCCGUGAGGUGUCGGGUUAAGUCCCGCAACGAGCGCAACCCCUGCUGCCAGUUGCCAACGGGUAGAGCCGGGCACUCUGGCGGGACUGCCAUCGACAAGAUGGAGGAAGGUGGGGAUGACGUCAAGUCAUCAUGGCCCUUAUGUCCAGGGCGACACACGUGCUACAAUGGCCGGCACAGCGGGAAGCGAGGCAGUGAUGCCAAGCGGAUCCCUUAAAGCCGGUCUCAGUUCGGAUUGAAGUCUGCAACUCGACUUCAUGAAGCUGGAAUCGCUAGUAAUCGCAGAUCAGCCAAGCUGCGGUGAAUACGGUUCCCGGGCCUU
rnacentral:rRNA from 1 species